CAUGUACCUGCCAUCCUGCCUCAACUUCGCAAAUUGCUUACGCAUGCUGAGCGUGUGUCCUCGUGUACACCGACAGCAUCAGGCUCCUAGUAUGGAUGCAAUAAGUACUGUGGAAUGAAUGAAUGAAUGAAUGAAUGAAAUGAAUGCACACCUCCCUACCCCCAGGGUGAUGAUAAGGACUGUGCAAGACAGAGUGGCUGCACACAGUAGGCCCUCUCAUGCAUGCAGUCGCUCUUCUAAAACAUCUCUAUGAAGCACCUGUUUUGUUCCAGGCAUUGAGGGAACAUUGGUGCUCAUUGGUUCUCUGUUCCUUGCAGACAGACCUGGGAGCAUUCUCCUUGGAGGUCCCCACCCUUGUGGGCUCUUUUUUUCUUGCUUUCCUUUCAGAGCCACCAAAAUGCCUGGACCUGGGCAGCUAACAGUGGGAUGAAUCUGCUUUAGAGACACCAGACUGCCAGCUAGAGAAUUGAAAUAACCUGAUUCUUAUCUAUUUUUCCAUCCAGAGAGGGCACACCAAGGCUAGGCCUCAUUUUUUUUUUCUUUAAACAUUUUUGUGUUGACAAAUAAUGUUUUAUAAAGGCCUCACUAUCUGCCAAACUGUGUCUCACUUCUCCCCAGCCCUGCCAGGUGUGGGGACACCGAACCCACCCAUAUCUCCUCUAGAAUCCACCGAGCACUGAGAUAGCCACAUCUCUAACCUACACCUUUAACUUACAAGCCACAGUCAAGAGGGCUUUGGAGAAAGGGAACCACAGAGGUAGCACGGACAAGCCUCCACUAUCUGCCCCUGGCGCAGGACGCCCACAACCCCAGACACGGUGCACAACGGUCCCUCAGGAAGCCUUUCCUUGAGUCCUACAUUUAACCACAGAGGCCCAGAGGCCCAGGCGUGGUGGUGACUGCCUGCUCGGCAUGCCCCA
rnacentral:lncRNA from 1 species